AGCAACACUGAAUUCAAUGCAAUGUCUCACAAUUGCUGCACUCUCCCUCUUCCAAGCAAAUAGAUUCUCUCUCUGCACUACGCAGCAGCUGCCUGAGGAUGGGGAGGAGUGGCAUUAGCAAUUCGAGACUGUCUUUUUUACCUCUUCAAUGCCUCUUGCAGCGAUAUGAAAUUAAAACCAGGCUUUUGUCACCAUCACAAACUUCUGCAGCCUUGGCCACUGAGGCAAUCACAGGCAUCACUGAUGAGGAUGAUAGCUGAAGAAACUGCAACUGCAUAAAGAUCACAUCACUGAAUCUACCCAGAACUACAGCCAAUGCAUGAUACCCACUUGACAACCUAGGACCUCUCUACAAGAAAAAGUCUUUCUCUAUGAAAGAUAAUUCAUAAAAUUUUAAAAAGUAACUCUUCUACUAGAUGCACAGAUAUUAAUGUAGGAACCCAAAAACCAUAAAAAGCAAGGAAAUAUGACACCUUCAGAGGAUUAUGUCUCUAAUCAAAGACCCUGAAGUGAAAGAUAUUUAUAAAAUGCCUGAAAAGAAAUUCAAAAUAAUGCUCUUAAGGAAACUCAGUGAAAUACAAGAUAAUACAGGUAGACAAUUCAAUAAAAUAUGGAAGACAAUUCUUGAUCUGAUUGUGAAAUUCAAUAAAGAGAAAGAUACCAUAAAACAGGACUAAACAGAAAUCUUGGAAAUAAAUAAUUCAAUGAACGAAAUAAAAAAUACAGUCAACAAAUUUGAUAAUAAGGUAGAUCAGGCAGAAGAAUUUCUAAACUUUAGUGGAAGUCUUUUGGCACAAUCUGCAGAUGCCCAGGGGUGAUGUGUAUGGCCAGCUGUUUGGUGCCUUCCCUAUUGUACAGAUUCACCUGUUUCUUGAGUGGAUGGUUUGCUGUGUGAGUUCAGAUACUAGGUUCUCAGUCAUCCCAUCUGCCUAGGCUCUGGCAGCCGGGGUUAGGGUACUGCAGGUACCAGUAUGAAUGUAGUGGAAUGAUAGUGGGGCCUCAAGGACAAGCACUGUCAGCCACUAGUGUCCCCUAGGGCAAGAUGCACUCCAGUGGUGGGUUCAUUGUCAAGAUACCACCAAACCCUCAAGAUACCACCAAGA
rnacentral:lncRNA from 10 species